UAAUGUAAUUAAUUCAAAAUAAAAAAUGGAGCAAUCAAUUGAAUGUGUGUGAACCUGUAAGAAAGUUUUGAAUAUUGAAAAUUUGCAAACAUUUCCAUCUAAAACCAUAAAAAUUGUUGUUUUGUUAUACAAGCAAGUCAAGUAGUAUGUUUCUUUUUUAAUUUUAAUUGUGUAGAUCCAAAAUCCGGGUUUAAAAUUUUAUGUUAUAACAUAUGAAAUUGGAUUGUUAGUGCAAUAUCAAUUCAUUUGAAGGGAACAAAAGAUUGUCAAGAUUGGGAUGCAUCAAAAAAUA
rnacentral:lncRNA from 1 species